CUCUCGGUAGCCAAGUUGGUUUAAGGCGCAAGACUGUAACAAUCUUGAGAUCGGGCGUUCGAAUCGCCCCCGGGAGA